AAAAUAUGCAUCACAGUUGGGAUGCACGGCCAUCUAUCUCACAACUUUUGAAAAGUAUGAGUUUUAUAAACACCUUGGUUAUCAAUGCUGUUCUCAAGUCUCCUCAGUGAAAGCAAGAUCAAGUCUAUUUACCAGCUCCCAGCUUGCACUAUUGCAAGGGCAGUUUGGUGAGAGAGAACCUCAAAUUGAAGAGCGAGAGGAAGGCAAAUUUGUUGACUCUAGUUCUGGAAAUUCUGUGAUAAAUAAUCAAGAACUAUCUGACGAUACAAUUGCUCGACAAGAGGGAAGAUCAAUUGUUCACAACCAAAAGAUAAACACUGGUCUGAAUGACCCUGAUAAACAAGGAGAAAUGUGUAACAACUCAUCAUUACUACUGGGAGAAGCCACUGCUUCUCCACUACCACCAACCCCACCUCCACCCCCACCCCCUCCUGCACUAAAACCUCCAACCAGUCAAAUUAGAUCAAUUUUGACUAAUCCAGUCUGGAUGAUGAAAGAAAUGCAACAUGACAACCACUGAGUUGUAAAAAUUAUGAAAAUAUAUUGCACUAUGUUAAUAAAUUGGGCAGGUCCCAAUAAGGAAGUUAGACAGAAACUUAUUUUGAGAGAGUUUCAUCUUGGGUCUAUAUAGCAAAAUUCGGACUACAGAGGAAACCAGUCAGGAUGCCCCUUUUCAUUGUCUGCUAUUAUAAGAUAAUGAUUAAUGAAUAUUUACAAACAAGAAUUUUUAAGCUGUGGAAUCGUGUGUAAAGCAACAAGAAAAGGAACACAGUUGUUACAAAAAUCAUAAUAAAGUUUUGAAUCCAGUUGCUGUUAUUUCAAUAUUCAACCCCUUCACAGCUGAGUGUUUUAUAAGUUUUGAUGGCAAUUUUUCUUUGAUCAGUUAAUAAUUUCAUUAUAUUGAUUAUAUUGAUAAGAAUCGAUUAUAUUGAUCAUGCUUUACUAGAAAUUUUGUCCUUGCUGGAAAUACAAUGGCAUAACACUAAUUUUUCACGAAUGAAAAAAAAAAGAAACAAACAAUUGCAUCUUCUUUUCUCCCAUUCCUUACAUUACGCUUGAGGGAUUCUUGAUUCUAGGUUGAAAGAUUAACGAUUAAAGACCCCGAGACGUCCCUGGCGCUGAAUCACAUCACCAGACCAGAGGUCACAAGAGACACUUGUUAUAACACUGUAGGGCAAAUUUUUCACAAAAUGCGCUCAAAUCUCGUUUAAACUCUCCAGGAUGAGAAAAAAUGACACCACUGAAUGUUCAAGAAUCUGUAUUCAGUUAAUUACCCUUACAGUGAACGAAUUUAAUGUCAACUCCUGAUCUCUAUACAAACUAUUAUAUUUUAUCCACAGUUCUUCAUACAAACUCUUAUAUUACGCUUGGGUCACCUGUGACCGGAUGUAGAAGAUUGCGCAAGUUGGCGAGCACGCUUGGCACCCGCUCAUGCACGCACGCAUCGGUGAAUCGAUGAAAACAUUUGCUGAGUUGUAGAGAUGAGUUUUAAAACGUUUUUUAAAAUAGAAAUGUGUCAUAUUCCGCAAUUUUUCCCUUCUAUUUAUGGAAGAACACGGGAUGAAUUGAAAGUAAACUUCAAUUUCCCCACUGCAAUCCUGCACGUAAACAGUUCAUGACGUAACCUCUUGACGUCACAUUAAUUAUUGACCCAGUUGGUGAUUGGAUUAAUUUCCCUCCUUCUCGAAAGGUGAUUGGCUAAGAACUUGAUGAGAACCGGUUUUUCUGGUUUGACUGGUUAGGUGUGCCUCUACGUAACUCAAACGUUUGUUGCGUUGCUUCAGUGUUUGGGGUAUCGUUCGUGUUGUGUGGAACAUGCACAGCCGUCCAAGUUUGAAGGCAAAACGUGGAAAACACUCAUUUUACACAGAUAAAGAACUCUGGUCCUUACUAACGACAUCCUUGGAGAAGAAGAAAGCCAAUAAAAGGAAAAGGGAUCCAGACAUGCUUCGGAACGCAGUGUUGGAACUAACAGUUCAAAGACUGAACGAAGAGAUUACGGAGAGAUGUAUGAACAAAGCGAAACGUCGAAAACUAGAGGAUUCGUAUGAAUGGCACGAGUCUCCGGAUGGACUUGGAUGGAACAUGACCGCAUCGUAUCAAGAUGACGAUGAUCUGUUAGGUUGAACUUAUUUUCCUCAGCUGAUGUUCUGGUUGUAUCAUCAAUUGCCAUAAAGUACAUCUAAAGCACCUUCCAGAAGCCUGAUGCGAGGUUGAUGGCGACUGGUGGCUGCCACAUCGCCAAAGGUGGAAGGAUAAUCAACAGAUAGGAUGAAGAUGGCUGAAGUCAAUCGUUCAUCUGGACAUCCUCAAGAGAAGCUUUCAUCGGAGGAUUAGUUCUUGAAGACAAGCAUAAAGGCCAGCCAUAAGGCUUGUUAUAUAGUUAUUAGAAGUAGUUAUGCAUAGAUUUAAUUUGUAGAAAGUCACUUAAAUAAAAAAUAAAGAAAUAAUAGUUGGGUGGGAGUAAGUGCUCAGUCCAUGUGGGUCUAAAAUUAAUAAUCAGUAAUGUUUCACUUUGACACUGCUGCAUAUAUGCCUAGGAUGUUUGUAGUUAUGUUAGGUUUUUGCAACAUUGUUCCUUUGAUUUGAUCAAAAGCACUAAGAAGGAAACUACCAAGCAAGUAAAAUUCAAGUCACUUGGCCUUGCAAGAGAUAAAGGCAAGCAUGUUAUUCACUACCAUAGAGAUAACACUGAUAGCUUUUUGAGCAAUGGUGAAAAGAAGUGGAAAUUAUGCGUGCAAUAUCAUGCUGUCAAACGGUGACCAAGAGAGUACUAGAAGUAGUGGUUUCACAAGCUAGGAACUGUGCAUAAGAAAUUCGAGUAACUGCGGUAUGUGGAGAAAUCUUGACCAUUUGUUUUUGUGAUCAACUUCCAGAUGUCUUUCUUUGAUUACAUUUUGGAGGAUAUGGUAUACAAAAUAUUUUGCAGGUAUUAAUAUUGUCCUUACACAAGCAACGUAAGCAACUGGAAGUGGAUCACAGGUAUUCGAGCCACUUGUGAGCAGUGAGACCUGCUGAUGUCUUUAUCAAUCAAUCGCUAGUUAGAAUCAUAUAACUAAGAGCUGGAUUGUAGCUCUCUGUCAUAAUUUAGCGUUGGAUAGGGUUGUAUGUGUUGUUUCUUUACCAUUAUGCAGUCAAAGUAGACUUGCAGUCCAAGCCAGAGGGCAAAAUGAUCCAAGUGGAUCUUGAGGAAUAGCUAGAGGCCAUUGGCAAUCUUAAGGAAGCUGGAAACAAGUGAUGUAAGCUGAUAUCUCUUCCAAGUGCAGCAUUUUGUAGAGUUAUGCUCAGUCUUAAAUUUGACUAACGUAGGAUAAAAGAAACUUCUGCAACGUGUAUUGGUUGCUAUUAAAGUGUUUCAGCUAUGGAACUUCAGUCAUCCUGGAAUGAAGCAUCACAGCCGUGAGUGUUUUAUCUGGUUUCAAGUUAUAAUAAAGUGUCCUAAGAUUGCAUCAUUCAUCUGACUACUAGACUGGGCAUACUUUCUUUUGCAUCAUGGUUUUUGACUCCCAAGAGCAUCUGGUAGUGUUCUUUGCCUGCACUCUGCUCGGCUAGUCAUAGUAUGAUUGUUAUUUCAUCAUGGUAAUGGUAGUGAGAAGUAUCUCGACUUUACGACAUUGACAGCCAGUUUGAAAUGUUAAGUUGAUUUGAGGCAUAAAAUAUCACGAAAUACCCCUCUCAUCAAGACCAUGCACAAGUUGGGUGACUGCAACUUUGUUACAAGUGAAAUGACUGUUAAGAAAUAACCUGCUAAAAGAGAGCACAAUGUCAUCAAAAGCAAGCAAGUGGCCAGUCCAUUUAGAGGUGUUACUGGGUGAAUUUCUUCUUCUGUUGGCCAAACCAAAAAAAUAAUGUUAAUUGUAAUACAUAUAAGGUGUGGUAGGGUUCUUUCUUUUUUAAAAGCAGGUUAAGGAUCUCAAACUAUUGGGUUGGAUGUCAACUAAACGGAUUUGCAGGUUGUGAGAAAUCUAAUAAUACCAUCUUUGACAGACUGAAAUCUACACAAGGCUCAAUUCUUGUACACUGAAAUGGCAAGUUCCUUUGUCUUUAAGUUUGGAGUUUCCUAAAACUUGUAGUUAUCUGCAUGGACAUGUAGUGUUUCCCAAAGUGUGCAUGAUCUGAAGCUUUUUCAGUUUGUGGAGCAAGGAGGCCUUGCAGGAAUGAGGGUAAAGAAUUCUUGCCUAUGCGAAUUCUUCAGCAACUCGGAUGAUAGCAGUACCUUUAUGCCAUUGGCUAAUGCUUACUGUGAAGGUAAAAUACGCGUAGUAAAAGCUCCUAAUUGGAUUUAAGUGUGAUUUGAUUAGACUGGUAUUUGGUUUGGGGUUUUUGUGCUACUUUUGCCCUUGCAGGGUGACAGUGUAAACAAGAAAAUCCAGCAAUCAGAUCGAGCAACAGCACUUAUUCACUGAAAUGGCUAGUGAGUGUUAGUGUGUUGAAGCGCAAGUCCUGCUAAAAGUGUGCAUGUUCUGAAGUUUCUUGAGUUUGUGCAGCAGCGCAGAAGUGAGGGUAAAGAAUGAUUGCCUGCAUGACCAGGUGACUCCAAUAUUUGCGGUUCUGGCCACUCACCCUAAGUUAACCAUGAAGGUGAAAUAUGCAUAUUGACAGCUCUUGAUUGGAUUAAAAUCUGAUUUCAUUUGGACGUAUUUGGUUUGGCGUGUGUGUGCUACUUUUGCCCUUGCAGUAUGUGGCAGUUCAAGCAAGUGAUAGUGUAGGAAUGACGAUGAAGACCCCUCUGUUAUAGAAGUCUCUGAAACAAUUGUGUAAAUUUCAAAUUCCUCCAUGUGGCCCUAUUGUGACUGACUUGAAACCUUCGAAAGUGUGAAUCUUCCUUCGUUUACCACAAGCACCCUUGGCUGUUUUCUCCGACCCAUUGCAUUAUAUUGGACUGAAAGGUACAACUUCCUUGAGCUUGUUUUGGAAAAAGUAUGUGUGGGUGUGUUGUUACGAAUUUAUUUCAGAGAAGUAAUGUGGAAAGUCCAGGAAUUGGGCGGUGUCGAAGAAGAAAAUCUUUAUCCUGUGAUGUUCACAAGCUGAUACUGGAUCCCCAACCGAAAUCCCAAAGUUGAAAUUCCUGUACAAAGAUUUCCUUUCUUGGCAAGCGCUAAAACUUUUACCAGUUUGUUCAGAUCAGUCAUCGGGAGUUCCCCCAAGGUAACUGCUGUCUACCUGAAUGGCAUAGAAUAAAUUUGACCUAGGCCUUGAGUGUGUAGCUUUUUCACCAGAGUUGUAUGUUAGCAUAGUGAACACACUAAAGGAUGAUUGGAUUUCUUGUGGCUUGUAUAUACAGCUGAAGCAAUCAAGCAGAAAAUUUGUACGUACUUCCACCGAAGUAAAGCUUAAUUCAGUUACCACAGACAAUCUGGCUCACUGCAGAAUACCCUUGUGAACUAGUGCAUGGUAUUUCAAAAUCACAGUUGCUGGUUAUGUCCAUUCGUCAGUUUUGUUAAGCCUGAACAAUAGUUUAGGACUGUUUGGUUUCGAAAUGUGUGUGAAGCUUUUUCAACAGAUCUGCGUUUCUGCUGGAAUUUUGACAAGUUCAACCUUGGCCUUUUCUGCCUGCUCCUACAUUAUUCCUCUUGAUCCCACAAGAGCCAAGUAACACCACUGCAGCUUUUCCAGUGUUUGUUUUGCAACCUAAAAAACAUUCUGUUCCAAUCUAUUGUUGCCAAAGAAGCAGUAAUCAGCACCAGAAAGAAAUCCAAAAAAGAUUCCACCUGAAAGAGAAAAUAUCCAGUAUGAAGUACAGGUUUUGUCCUUGUCAAUUAAAGAUGUGCGCAUGAAGAAUUAAUAGAAGGCAGGUUUGGAAGUACAUUUAGGACUGUGACCGACACCUAACAAGUUGAAUGCAUCCACCCAAAGUUGUCAAUUUAUGGAGAAUGGUACAAGUUGACCAGAAUAAAAGUGAUAGCUCAGGCAAGUUAGGACUGCAGUCAUUUUGGCACUUAAGAAAGUUUGUUCCAAGUUGUGUGGGUUUUGAUCUGUCUGUGUGUUCACAAGAUUAUCCUGUUAGAAGUAAUAUUUGGUAGUGGUGUAUUUGCUUAGAAUUUGUCUACUAGGUACAUGUGUUGCGAGAAGUUUUUUUCAGGAAUGUACCUUGAGUCAACACCAACUUUUCAGGGCCAUUGAGUACUAAUUCAAGAAAAUUAUCAGUGGGGGCCACUCCAAAGCAGUAUUCUCAGCAUGUUUAAAGAUGCCUUUCAAGUGCAGAAGAAAGCAGAAAGUAGUAAGCAGUCCAAAAGUAUGAACUUAGCACCAAGUAGUGCAAGUGUUUUUGUUGUCGGUCAGUUGUUGCUGUGUGCGGCCAGUGUAUUGGAAUCUAAUGACCGGAUAUCCUGUCUUGCAAAAAAGCAAUUCUAGCUAUUCCCAAGUGGUAAGCCGUGCAAAGCAGUAGUGUACUUCAUGGAAAAGCUAAUGGGUUGGGACAAGCACAAUCUUCCAAGUUCCUUAGAAAUGGAAAAAUUAAGAGCAACUGAUGUGGUAUCAAUUUAAUCUCUUGUGCAUUUAAAAGUGGUACUGUCAGUACAGUGUUUUGUGUUUUUCCUGUCAUCUGCAAAUAUAUCCUUGUUUUGUCUGGAGAACACAUGCUUUUAAAAGUUUUUUUCAGGAAAUUGUGUUCAGGAAACAACUGAUUUUGCGGUAUGGUAGUGUCACAUUCUGAAAAUAUUCAAGCAAGAUUAUUUAUCAAGCAUCCUUCCUUGAGCCACUUUCUCAGAAUCUGUCUAAAUACAACAAGUUCCAAGGUCAUCUGUUGUUAAAUUAAAGGUUCAAGUCAUUAAAAGGAAAAAAGCCAGCCCCUCUUCUUCCCUGUAGAGUUAAACUGUUAACCACAUUUCCAGUACUAAAGCAGUAUGGGUAUUUGAAUCAUCAACCUGUGGCCAGUAUUUUGCUGAAUAAACAUCGGUUAGACUGUCCAAGCAAUGGUUUGGUUCCAAGUUGGCAUGUGUCACUUCUCCAAAUUCCUACUUAAGGUUUUCUAGAUCUCAUUCUGUACCAUCUGUGGUUAAGUUGGUUGGGACAAGAAAAGUUUUGUUUUCCUCUUUGGAAAGUCUUACAAAAAUUGGCAGCAGUACAGAUCAUCUGAUGAGGCAGGGUAGUGAGUACUAAUCAUCAAUGCAAGGGUUUCCCAGAGGUGCAUUGUCAGCAAGUGAGUCAAACUUUACUGUGAUGUUUUUUGAUGGAAAUUGUCAUAUUUUAUUGUUCAUUGUUUCGUCAGAAUUUUGUAAGUCUUCUCGUGUAUAGAAAAUGCAUGUGGUUUUCUUAGAAGUCUUUUUCAGGAAUUAAAUUUGGUGUGCUCAACAGCAGUUUCUCCAUUUCGUGCUAAAUUGCAAGUAAGAUUCAGUAGUGGCCAUCUUUCCAUCUAGCAGCUUUCUCAACAUCUGGCUAGGAACCCAAAAUGUGCAGAGUAGCUACUCAGAAGUCCAUCCUAAGUAAGCUUAUCUGUGCCCUAAAAGAGAAAUAGCUCCAGCAGUGUGCAGUGUGGGUUUUGUGUCCUUUGUUGCUUGUGUAGACCUCUGGCCUGGGUGCACUUGAGGGGAAGUGAGUGAAGAUAACCAGCUGACUGAACAUAGAUUGGGUCCAAGUAGAUGCAUACUAGAAUCUUUCCACAAAUGGAACUCUGCCAGAAGUCACAACUUCGUCAGAAAUAGCACAAGUUAGCAAAAUCUCAGUGUGUAGCCUUGGUCAAGUUGUUUGGGACAAGCACAAUCAUGCAGUACUUCUAUUGGCGAGGCUCGGAUUCCCCGUGAGUGUAUUGAUUGCCUGUUAGUUAAGAAUUUUUUCCAAGAAUUUUGAGAUUAGAAAUUUUCUAUGGUGUUAAUUUUUUGAAGUGUCAAUCUACAUAUUUUCUCGUAGUGCAUAGAGAAUGUGUUGUUUUAUCAGUUUUUUCAGGGACUAAAAUUUGGUGAGCUCAACAGAAGUUUCUUGAUAUCGUGCCAAAUUUCAAGUAAGAUUCAGUAGUGGCUGUCUUUUCUCAACAUCUGGCUAGGAGCCCUGUGUGUCCAAUGUUAGCUAUCCAGAAAGUCCAGCCUACGUAAGCUUCUCCACGUCCUAAAGAGAAAUAGCUUCAGCAGUGUGCAGUACAUGUCCUUUGUUGCUUGUUUAGACCUCUGGCCUGGGUACACUUGAGGGGAAGUAAAUGAAGACAACUAGCUGACUGAAUGUAGAUUGGGUCCUAGCAGAUGCAUACCAGAAUCUUUCCAUUAGUGGAACUCCAUCAGAAGUCACAACUUUGUCAGAAAUAGGGCAAGUUAGCAAAAUUUCAGUAUGUAGCCUUGGUCAAGUUGUUUGGGACAAGCAUAAUCAUGCAGUACUUCUAUUGGCAAAGCUCAGAUCCCCCAUGAGGGUAAUGAUUGCCUGUCAGUUAAGUUUAUCCAAGAAUUUUUUGAGAUUAGAAAUUUUCUGUGGUGUUAAUUUUUUGAAGUGUCAAUCUACGUGUUUUCUUGUAGUGCAUAGAGAAUGUGUGUGUUUUUACAAGUCUUUUUCAGGGACGUAAAUUUGGUGAGCACAACAGAAGUUUAUCCAUAUCACACUAAAUUACAAGUAAGAUUCAGUAGUGGCCAUCUUUCCAUUGAGGAACUUUCACAACCUCUGGCUAGGAACCCUGUGUGUCCAAAGGUAGCCAUCCAGAAAGUGCAGCCUAAGUAAGCUGCUCCACACCCUAAAGAGAAUAGCUUCAGCAGUGUGGGUUUUGUGUCCUUUAUUGCUUGUGGACCUGUGGCCUGUGUUUACUUGAGUGGAAUUGGGUGAAGAUAACCGACUGACUAAUCAUAAGUUUUAGUCCAAGAAGAUGUGUACAAGAAUCUUUCCAUUAGCAGAAGUCCAUCAAGUUUCGGUCAGUAAUGGUACAAGUUAGCGAAAUCUCGGUAUAUAGCCUUGGAAGGUCAUUUGGCAUGCAGUACUUCAAUUGGCAAAGCUGAAAUCCCCUGGUAAGGGUAAUGAUGGCCUAUCAAUUCAUAUUUGCAAGAUAUCCUUGAAUUCUAAAAGAUUAUAAUUUUUUAUAACAGUAAAUUGUGUCACUCCUCUUGUUUCCUCAUAGUGUUGAGAAAAUGUAUGUGGUUUUCAGAGUCUUUUUCAGGAAGGUUACACCGGUAAUCUCGUGGGCGAUUUUUAGGGAUCUAAUUAUGCUGAAUUUCACAUCAGACUCAGCUGUGACCAUCCUUUCCUUGAGCAGUCCAAAUUGUCAAAAGUGGUCAUAAUUUGCAAUUCCAGAAAGUCCAUCUCCUAAAGGAAUCCAAAAGAAGUUCUCCACUCCCCAGAUGGUAACCAUUUUCCAUUGUGCAGUGUGGGUUGUGUUUUUCUUAUCCAUAUGUGUUGCUCGUGGUCUACUUUCAUGGAAAUUUGUGGAAAAAAACAUCAUCUGGUCAAGUAUCAGUUUAGGUCGAAAUAGAUGCUCAUGUCAAGAAUCCUUCCAGGCAAGUGGACCUUCACCAAUGGUCAAGACUUGUCUAAACCCUUUCACAAGUUAGCCAAACCUUAGCUUGUAGCCUUGGUUUAAUUGGUUGUCAGAGGCAUAAUCAUGCAACACUAUCCAAGAAGUCAGUGAUUGCUAGUGAGUCUUGAAAGUGGUAUUUUUAAAUGUUAGAUUUUCUGUAGUGCCUAGGAAAUAUGUGGUGUUUGGAAAGUCUUUUUCAGGAAGGUAAAUACAGUGAUCCCAAUGGUGAUUUCUCAGGAUUCAUAUGGUGAUAAAUUUCGAGUAGGAUUCAGUGGUGGAUAUCCCCUUGUCUGGAACUUCCUCUUCAACCGUGUCAAAUCCCAGAUUAUUCAAGUACUGUUGCCAAAGUAGCUGUUGUUUGCGUAGCAGAAACCUCUGGCCCAGUAAGCAGUUCAAAAGAGCCUUUUUACUUCUUUAGAGCAUCUAGUUCUACUUGCCCAGUUCUACUUGUAGAUGUUUCUCCUAUGUGUUAGUGGAAAUGAAGAUAAAAAUGAUAUGAGUUCAGUUCUUCAUUAAUCAUGGCAAUUUCCUAAGAGAGCCUGAGUCUCUGUGGUCAAGUUGGACGCAACAAGCGCAGUCAUCCAGAACUUUGUAAAACAUUCUAAAAGCUCAAAACAUUCAAAGCUGGAAUUGAUCAUCAAUCAGUUUGUAUAAAUUUGACAAGCAUUACCAAGUCAUUUGUUGGUGAGGUCAAUUUGUUAUUUUGUUGUGGACAUUGUCCUUUUAUUGAAGUUAUUACUCUACUCCUUUAUGGUAGCAUGAAAUUAAAUUGUCUAAAAAAGAAAAUUUGUAGGUUUUGUGCAUGUGGUUUUGAAGCAGUCUUUUCCAGGAACACAGAUGCGGUGAAUCAAGUUUGCUUUGCGCUUAAUUUCAAGUGAGGCUCUGAAACAGCCAUCCUCCCUGCCCUGGCAUUUUUCCAGCAACCCAAGGUGUUCAAGUUCAUUGUGUUCAAAGAAGCAGUAAGCUGAAAAGUGGGAAAGUUCUGGCUCUGCCCAGUAAGCAUUCUAAAAAAGUCUCUUAACCAGCCAUGUGGUGUGGGUUUUGUGUCAUUUGUCACUUAAAAGACUUGUGGUGUACUCAUUACUUUGUGGAAAAAGUAACCUUCAUCUGUUUACAAACAGUUGGUUUUGGUACAAGCAAAGCAUCUUUCAGUUCCAAAGUUGGACUGCCUGAAGUUGUGAUUUUUGCAGAUUUCCACAAACAAGUUCAGCAAAUCUUGAGCAUUAGCAUUUGUCAAGUUAGCAUAAUUCAAAAUAUUUCGUAAAAUGCAGAACAUUUCCGAUGUGGAAAAAAGUUCAACAAGUUUGCAUCUUGCACGCUGCAGUUAAGGUCAGUUAUAUUCUAAGCAGUGAAUCCUAACAGGACACUCUCAGUGACGUGAAUUUGAAUGUUCAGAUGUAUUGUGAUCUUUUGUUUGCCCUAAGUAUAUGAAGUAGAUGGGGUGCUGUAAGAACUGUAAGUUUGUUGUCAAACAUUUGCUAUAAGCAUUUAAAUAUAAUAACAUUGCUAUCUUCAUAAAUGACUGAAGUGGUAUCAUUGGUUAAAUGUUAAAUUUCUAGGCUAUUGUUGAAAUCAAGGCUACAAAACAGCCAUUCAACCUAAUUGUCCUUCACUAAUUAGAAUUAUUGAUAAAUAUUUUUAAAGUUCUGUUGAGUUGUCAAAACCAGUGCUUAUUUUAUUAGUUCUAACAGCUUUCGAACAUCACAAAAAGGAUGGUGCCAUUGGCCUCUCGUUGUUUGACAUGCACUAGCAAUUCAUGACAGGUAUUGCAGCAAAAUUUAAAAUUUGCAAGUGGAAGCAGUGCAUAUUUUGUUUUCUCAACAGUUAAUGCUAGCUAAAACAUUUUUCCAAGUUGAGAAAUUUAUUACUGAAGAGAAAAGUUAAUAGCAGUUUAAAGGUGACGUUCUAAUUUUCCUAACCUACAUUAGAGGUGAAAGUAUGUUUCAUUUGCAUAUUUACAUUAUCAAUCUUAAACAACUAAGUAUGAAGUUUGUGUGCUGUUAAAUAAUGUGUAGCUCGUAAAUAGUGUGUUUCAUUGACAGAAUUCAUUGUUACAUAAAGAUAAUAAUUUAAUUAUUUAUUUGGCUAUUUUUUGUAAACUGCCACUACAGGACUACUUUGUGCUUAUGAAUUUAAUAACUUACAGUAAUAGUGCUUUAUUUUGUUUCUCUAUCUGAAAUGGGUUUAAAGUUGUUGCUUUUUUCAUUUGUUGGGGUUGGGGAAUCUUUUUGUUUUCUUUCACUUACAGUCUUGAGCUGGUAGUUGUGUCAGUUUAAGUUGGAUUUUAAAGGCCUGUGGACAAGGCAAGCAUACCGGUAUCUUCAGUUAACUUAAUGUCACUGUCUUGUGUAAUCAUCUCUAAAACAUACAGGUACAAAUUAAUUCAAUAAGAAAUUCAAGGUUAACUACAUUAAUGAGCUUUUAGAAGUAUUGCUUAGUGUGCAAACAGUGCAUAUUUUAUCAAUUUCCUGCAGCAUUUAGGAUUCCACUUGUGCUAGAGGUAGGCCAGCAUUGCAUAUUUUUUCAGUUCAGAGCAGGCUCAUUUUUGAUGUCAGAACUUAAAAUAAUCAGCACCACAAUGAUUCAAAAUACAGGUACUGAGUUGCACAUUUUUCCCCAUCCGAAAUUUCGAUUUUUGAUAUGUGUGUAGAUAUGGUGUAUGUGCUCUGUUCGGUUCUACAGCAGUUUCUGUUGCCGAUCAGCCUGGAGUUGUCUGCUUUCCUUGUAAAUAUCGGAAGCUGUGCCACAGAUCGAUGAAAGAUCAGAUGUCUCCAAAUUUUGUAUUUAUGUCAGUUAAAUUAUGCGAUGCAUGUAAACUGGAUGCAGGUCAGCCAUCAAUUCAAAUUCUUUUCUUUUAAUCAUUGUCGAAAACAUUGCAUAUUUUUUCACUUUCACAGCAAUCUUAUUGAGGAAAAAAAAAAGCCAUUUGCUCAAAAAUACCGUAUUCUAAAAACCCAGGUACCAUCUUGAGAUGUUUUGCUGUAUGAAGUUUAUGAUUUUGAAAAUUGGUGUAGAUGUGUUGUAUGCUCUGUUCAGUUCCACAGCAAUUUCUGUCGCAGAGGAAAUCUGCAUCAAACAAACUCUGUUCUCCUUUUUCGAUGCAAAUAUGCGGUGUCGGCAUCCUGGACUCAAAAGGACAGAUAUGUAUUCUGUUGUGUCUGUUCUUCCAGAUCAAAUUUUUUUGGUAUUCAAACCGUGCAUAUUUUGUCACUCUUACAGCUCAUCGUUGGGCUUUUAACUUCUUCCUUUACUGGAUACAGGUCAGCCUUUAAUUUGCCGCAACUUUGUUUUGGCAGAAAACAUGUUUGUUUUUUCACUUUUACAGUAAGCUCCCUUUAAAAUUGGAUUUGUGCGUUUUUCACUUUAUUAUUAAUAUGGCGAUACUGGAUUCAUACAUAACAGGUACCAAAAUGAGCUUUUUUGUCCAUUUGUUGUUUUUGAUUUUCAAAAUUUUGUUGGUAUGGUGUAUACUUUGAUCAGUUCAACAGCAGUUUCCACGAUACUCUUACAUCAGUUCUCAACUCCCAAGGAAGUAUACUUGUUUCCUAAAUUCAUGCGAACAUCUUUCAGCCAGAUGAAGUAAGGUUAAAAUUAUUUGUCUUAUUCUGAAUCAACGUCCAUUAUUCGACUUCUGUUGUGUCAAAAUGGUGCAUAUUUUCACUCUCUACAGUGCCUUAAUCUUCACUGGAUGCAGGUCAGCCUUUGAUAAAAUGUUUUUUUCCUUAAGUUCUUGGAAAUUGUGCAUGUUUCUUCAGUUUUCAGCAAGCUCUUCAUUGCAACAAAUUCACGUUCCAUUCCGAAAAGAAGCACAGCUCUUGGUUGGCAUAAUAUUUUCGGAUAUGAUGUAAACUUGGAUCAUUUUUAAUGAAAUUUCAAUCCUGGAUUGAUUGUUGGUCAACCAAUUGAUGGAAAGUUUUUUCUCACCACUGAGUGGAAGGUCAUCUCAACACCCGAGUAUUUGUUUCCAGUUGGUGAAAUUCUUUUUGAUGCAAGCAGUGCAUUCUCUACAGCUUCUAACAUUCCACUGGAUGCAGGUUGGAUCUCUAUCCGAAUAUUUUCUUUGGUGUCAGAAAUGUUGCAUAUUUUUCAGCUUAACAGUAAGCUCCUUUAAGCAUUUAAUUCCUGGGAUUCAAAGUUGUCAGAUUACCGGAUUCUAGCAGUGUAAGUAACUAUUUUAGAACAUUCUCCAUCCAAAGUUUUUGAUUUCGAAAUUUUUGAGGAUGUGGUAUAUCAUUUGUCAUUUCAACAGCAGCUCUGUUUUCAAAUGCAUAUAAUUAUGCUAAAUUCUAGAGAGUUUUCCCAUCCAGAUAUGUAUCCUGUGUGUUUUUGGUUUUAUUCUUAAACACUGUGUUUCAAACCGGUGCAUAUUUUGUCAGUCUCAUUUCAGCUUCUAGCAUUUCAUUGGAUUCAGGUCAGCCCACAAUUUCAUUUUGUUUUUAUGUCAUGAAAAAAGUGCAUGUUUUUGUCGUUUUCAGUAAGUUCCUGUCACUGGAUGCAGGUUGCGGCAUAAGGUUAAGCCUUUUUCCUUUUCUUUUGUCAUUCAAAUAAACCUUGAAAUAAAGCUCAUCCAAUAUUUAGUCAUACAUUUGUUACAAUACAUUCAUUAUUUUAGUUGUAUUUUGGUUUGUGUGCAAACAGUGCAUACUUUAUUUAGUUUCAACAGCUUGAAUGCUAACAAAGUGGAUUCAGGUUAGCUGAAAAACAGUUUUGUCUCUUUUUUUUUUUCUUUUCCAUGUUCAAUGUGUUGUAUGAUUAUUUUAGUAAAAAUAAGUUGAUCACAGUCCUGUAAAUUGUUUUUUUUUUGUCAACAUGUAGUAGUAGCAGCAGUAGUGCAUAGAUUGGUAAACUAUAUCUGUCAGUAGUUCUAUGUAAUUUUUUUGAGUUUGAUCACUUGACAAGUACAUGUAUCUAAUGUUAAUUGCUACCAUGUUGUAAAGAACCAUGUAUGCAGCAGUGUCCCUCUGCAUGGGCAGAGCUUAAACUAUAACUACCAGUUUGAAAGAUUAAGUGAGGAGUAGUAGAAAUAGGUUAAGUUAGGGACAGUGUUCCAGUUCAAAGAAGCAGCAGAGACAUGAAGGAAGACCUGAAGGAUCAACAUUAUAAAGAGGAAGAUGACAGGUUUUCACUGGGGACAUCAUUUACAAGGAAAAUAUGAUGGCAUACCAGUAGAUCAACAAUAUCAUUGCAAGAUGACCUAAAUGAAAGCAAUUUUUGAAGAUCAAGCAGAUUCUUUCUAUGUUGGAUAAUUUGGAUUAAUUUGCCUACUCAAUUAACCCAAAUUGAUCGCCAAGCUAGUUUUUAUGGCACGCCUGAGUGCCUGCUGUCUGCAUUGGGUCAGGACUAUGUUUCCAGACUAUUUUUGUCCCAUAAUGGGUUUUAAGUCUGGUUUUUCGCAGCCGGCAGGCAGCACCUGGAAUUAGUGUUUUGGCUUCUAAUUUGGUAAAAACAAGUUUCCUGUUCUUUUGGAAAGAAUUUAUGACUUUUUCAUGGUGUUCAAUGUUUGGAUGUAUAUUGGCAUAUGAUUGGAUUUUAUUAGUCGACUGUUUCGCUUUGUAUAAUUAUUGGCAUGUUAAGCAAAUAAAUUCUGAUUGGAUUUUACGAGUUGUCUGCAUUGCUUUGUAUUUUGGCAUUUUCAGAAAAUAAAUUAUGAUUGGAUUUAUUGUCUGUGGGUUUGCUUUGUAUAUUGACAUGUGCAGAAAAUAAAAUAUGAUUUGAUGUUA
rnacentral:lncRNA from 1 species